rnacentral:rRNA from 1 species
GGAGUUAGCCGGUGCUUCUUCUGUGAGUGAUGUCCUUCCUGCCGGCUAUUAACCCGCAGGCCUUCUUCCUCACUGAAAGUGCUUUACAACCCGAAGGCCUUCUUCACACACGCGGCAUGGCUGGAUCAGGGUUGCCCCCAUUGUCCAAUAUUCCCCACUGCUGCCUCCCGUAGGAGUCUGGGCCGUGUCUCAGUCCCAGUGUGGCUGAUCAUCCUCUCAGACCAGCUACGGAUCGUCGCCUUGGUGAGCCGUUACCUCACCAACCAGCUAAUCCGACAUAGGCUCAUCCGAUAGCGCGAGGCCCGAAGGUCCCCCGCUUUCCCCCGUAGGGCGUAUGCGGUAUUAGCCUGGGUUUCCCCAGGUUAUCCCCCACUACCGGGCAGAUUCCUAUGCAUUACUCACACGUCCGCCGCUCGCCACCAGGGAGCAAGCUCCCCGUGCUGCCGCUCGACUUGCAUGUGUUAGGCCUGCCGCCAGCGUUCAAUCUGAACCAAGAUCAAAUUCUGA